rnacentral:rRNA from 1 species
UCAAGCGAACAAGGGCGCAGGGCGAAUGCCUUGGCACUGGGAGCCGAUGAAAGACGUGAUAAGCUGCGAUAAGCUUCGGGGAGCUGCAAAUAAGCAUUGAUCCGGAGAUUUCUGAAUGAGGAAACUCACCUGGGUUCAUACUCAGGUACGUUAUACUGAACUUAAAAAUAGGUAUAUCGAGGGAACCGCCUGAACUGAAACAUCUAAGUAGGGCGAGGAAGAGACAUCAAACGAGAUUCCGUAAGUAGUGGCGAGCGAACGCGGAAGAGGGCAAACCGGAAGUAGAAAUACUUCCGGGGUACGGACUGCUUUUAGGACUUAAUCUGUUAACCGAACGGCAUGGGAAGGCCGGUCAGAGAGUGUGAGAACCACGUAGGUGAAAACGGAGAGAGCUGCGCAGGAUCCAGAGUACGGCCAGACACGUGAAACCUGGUCGGAAUACGGGGGGACCACCCUCCAACCCUAAAUACUACCCAGUGACCGAUAGCGUAUAGUACUGUGAAGGAAAGGUGAAAAGCACCCCGGGAGGGGAGUGAAAAAGAACCUGAAACCCUGUGCCUACAAGCACCUAGAGCACGUCAAUGUGUGAUAGGGUACUUUUUGUAGAACGGUCCGGCGAGCGAUUGUAUGCAGCAAGGUUAAGGACUUAAGGUCUGGAGCCGAAGCGAAAGCGAGUUUGAAAAGGGCGUUAAGUUGCAUACAAUGGGCCCGAAACCGGGUGACCUACCCAUGGUCAGGUUGAAGUGGAAGUAAAAUUCCAUGGAGGACCGAACCGACCUCCGUUGAAAAGGCGGCGGAUGAACUGUGGGUAGCGGAGAAAUUCCAAUCGAACCCGGAGAUAGCUGGUUCUCCCCGAAAUAGUUUUAGGACUAGCCUCAAGUUAGAUACCUGGAGGUAAAGCACUGAAUAGCCUAGCGGCCGAGAGGUUAGCGAAGCUUAUCAAACUCAGAAUGCCAGAGUAUUGAUGCUUGGGAGUCAGACAGUGUCAGAUAAAUGUCAUUGUCAAAAGGGAAACAGCCCAGAUCUACAGCUAAGGUCCCAAAGUCAGGUUAAGUGGAAAACGAUGUGAAGAUACGCAGACAACCAGGAUGUUGGCUCAGAAGCAGCCACUCAUUCAAAGAGUGCGUAAUAGCUCACUGGUCGAGCGUCUUUGCGCGGAGAAUUUAACGGGGCUAAACCUGACACCGAAGCUUAGGCAAUGUACUUAGUACAUUGGGUAGGGGAGCGUUGUAUACGCGGUGAAACAGUAGCGCAAGCGGCUGUGGAGUGUAUAGAAGUGAGAAUGCCGGAAUGAGUAGCGCGAAUGCAGUGAGAAUCUGCAUGGCCGAAAGCCUCAGGUUUCUGGAGGAAGGUUCGUCCGCUCCAGGUUAGUCGGGAGCUAAGGUGAGGCCUAACGGCGUAGCCGAUGCACAGACGGUAGAGAUUCCGUCACCACCAAAAGAGUUAAACACAGGGACACAUUUGAAGUCUCGGAGCCGGGUGUUGGUUCCGGUAGCGAUCGAGGGAAGUUAGUACCGAAGUCCGGGAUGGAAGAUGGCGAGAAAAGCUGUGUGUAUUUCUGCGGUGCCCGUACCGCAAACCGACACAGGUAGGUAGGAAGAAGAUUCUAAGGCCAACGGGAGAAGGGUUGUUAAGGAACUCGGCAAAUUGACCCCGUAACUUCGGGAGAAGGGGUGCUCCAGAGAUGGAGCCGCAGAGAAUCGGCCCAAGCAACUGUUUACCAAAAACACAGGUUUGUGCUAAAUCGAAAGAUGACGUAUACGAGCUGACGCCUGCCCGGUGCUGGAAGGUUAAGAGGAGAUGUGCAAGCAUUGAAUCGAAGCCCCAGUGAACGGCGGCCGUAACUAUAACGGUCCUAAGGUAGCGAAAUUCCUUGUCAGGUAAG